rnacentral:rRNA from 1 species
UACGUAGGGUGCAAGCGUUGUCCGGGAUUAUUGGGCGUAAAGAGCUCGUAGGCGGUCUGUCGCGUCGGUUGUGAAAGCCCAGGGCUCAACCCUGGGCCUGCAUUCGAUACGGGCAGACUAGAGUUCGGUAGGGGAGACUGGAAUUCCUGGUGUAGCGGUGAAAUGCGCAGAUAUCAGGAGGAACACCGGUGGCGACGGCGGGUCUCUGGGCCGAAACUGACGCUGAGGAGCGAAAGCGUGUGGAGCAAACAGG